rnacentral:rRNA from 1 species
CCUACGGGGGCUGCAGUGGGGAAUAUUGGACAAUGGGCGAAAGCCUGAUCCAGCCAUGCCGCGUGUGUGAAGAAGGCCUUCGGGUUGUAAAGCACUUUCAGUGGGGAAGAAAGCCUUGGGGCUAAUACCCUCGAGGAAGGACAUCACCCACAGAAGAAGCACCGGCUAACUCCGUGCCAGCAGCCGCGGUAAUACGGAGGGUGCGAGCAUUAAUCGGAAUUACUGGGCGUAAAGCGCGCGUAGGCGGUCUGAUAAGCCGGUUGUGAAAGCCCCGGGCUCAACCUGGGAACGGCAUCCGGAACUGUCAGGCUAGAGUGCAGGAGAGGAAGGUAGAAUUCCCGGUGUAGCGGUGAAAUGCGUAGAGAUCGGGAGGAAUACCAGUGGCGAAGGCGGCCUUCUGGACUGACACUGACGCUGAGGUGCGAAAGCGUGGGUAGCAAACAGGAUUAGAUACCCUUGUAGUC